rnacentral:rRNA from 1 species
AUUGAACGCUGGCGGCAGGCCUAACACAUGCAAGUCGAACGGUAACAGGAAACAGCUUGCUGUUUCGCUGACGAGUGGCGGACGGGUGAGUAAUGUCUGGGAAACUGCCUGAUGGAGGGGGAUAACUACUGGAAACGGUAGCUAAUACCGCAUAACGUCGCAAGACCAAAGAGGGGGACCUUCUGGCCUCUUGCCAUCAGAUGUGCCCAGAUGGGAUUAGCUAGUAGGUGGGGUAACGGCUCACCUAGGCGACGAUCCCUAGCUGGUCUGAGAGGAUGACCAGCCACACUGGAACUGAGACACGGUCCAGACUCCUACGGGAGGCAGCAGUGGGGAAUAUUGCACAAAGGGCGCAAGCCUGAUGCAGCCAUGCCGCGUGUAUGAAGAAGGCCUUCGGGUUGUAAAGUACUUUCAGCGGGGAGGAAGGGAGUAAAGUUAAUACCUUUGCUCAUUGACGUUACCCGCAGAAGAAGCACCGGCUAACUCCGUG